ACUAGUUGUUCAAUGUUCCUCCUGAGCCGAGAUACAACCACUGGAUAGAGCAUGGAGCAGGGCAGAUGUUACUCAGAGGGAUAAUUAUGGAAGAGGACACCUAUAGGUCACCCUUGAGCUUAAGUGCUGAUCUGGGAGAAGGAAGAGAACCUGGUCAAGGUCAUUCAGCUAAGUGACAAGGGCUCCAUGGUACCAUGAUGAAUUACGCCGGGAGUUUGGGAUUAUUACCUCAGAAGAGGAGGUGGUUA